UUUGUGAAUUAGUAGAAGGCAUCAACAAAUUGGUAAAUAAACCCUUGGUAAGUAAAACGUUCCAGAAGAAAAGUUGCAUAAAGCACACCGAUGUAUGCAACCGUCGAUUGUAAAUGUACAACAUGGAAACAAGCAGCACAUGUAAUUGUGUAGGAAGAAUACCAAUCAUAAUAUUUAUUCCCAGUCUAAUCAAUCGUCGGACGGGAAAACGUCACACUGGUCGUCAUAGCGUGAUAAUCUCGUGGUUUACCGUUGCCGUGGGCAAGCAGAGACUUUGCGCCGUUUCGUCAUCAAAGAGAUGCUAUGCGAUGAUGACUUUUGAUUUCUCGUAUAUGUGUUUGCAGUACUGCGGUGUAGAUGUGUGUGUGUGUGUUGUUUGGGGGUGUGUUAUUCGUUCAACUUCAAAGAUCGGGAAGGGAGCUGAGAAGGUCAGCGUGGUUCGCAGGAUGCAAGGUACGUGCUGGUGAGCUAAUCAGCGUUCUUGUUCGCAGGGGGGCUUUGUGUUGUUUGUUUGCCUGACAAUGUGCAAUUUCUGGUGACCCGGUUUGUUUGCCUUUUAACUAUCGGAAGACUAGUCAAGAUAAGAACACAUAGUCCACGUAGACUGGGUCGGGAGCGAGGCCUUCUUUUUCGUUUGCGUUGGUAACAUUUCCUUCAUCGUUUGUUUUCGUUGCGUUGUUAAGUCGGAUGUUUUUUUUAGUCGCGAUCUUCAACAAUUCGACCCCACGUGAGCCCAGCCUGUCAACAAAGAGGUUAAUGGUCGUCAAACGCGUGCGGGAAGGCAUCGCUGAGAUGGUGUGUUUCGCGAAAGUUGCACGCUCAAGAUUGAUGGCCGCAUCGUAAUCGAUCGGUUAGAUUGCAUCAGAUUAAAGCUUCUGGCUUACGUAUUGGCUCGUCUGGCUUACGUAGAAAUAACGACGGGCAGUGGUAACGGUGCAAUUACUGAUGUCAAGGAAUCUAUGAACACCUGGCGAAGAUAGAUAUUGGUCUAUAUUUAGGCGAGACUUUAAAGUUUGGGUGCUGCGUGAUAAGUAAUCUUUAAUUGUCGAUGUCGGAUGUCGUUCGUGGCACACAAUCACCUUAGCAAUUUCAGAUGUCUGGGACCAUUGUUUCAAUUUGACCGCACACUGGAACGAUCUACAGAUUUAAGUUAAUCUUAUAAAGAGGUACUUAAUGAUGGAAUUUAGCAAUGGCCAGGAGUGUCAUUUGACGUCAAUAGAAUGGUGUUAUUUCCACAGAUAUAAAAUACAAACAAAAAAGUACGAAAAUAUUCAAGCAAUCAAUUUUGGUGUUGAUAAUUUUAUUCAGCUCGUCCAAACCGACCACUGCUAAAUCAUUUGGUCAUGGAUAAUUACUAACAGCACAAUUGACUCCCAUCAGCGAAAUGGUGAGGAAUAUUUUGUAAUGAGAAGUGGUAAGCACUGGUACUGGUUGCUUGGAAGUAGCAUGCCAAUACUUGCAUGAUCGUUUGAAGAUCGCCUGAAGAGUAAUUGUGAUGUGUGCCCAGAUGACGCUAAAGAAAUGACGUCAAAGACUGGUACAUUUUGCUUCAGACCCCGAAAGUUGCUUCUAAGCGGAAGAUUGAAAACCCGUAGGCUUUUUUGCGCUAUAUCCUUUAUGACAAAUCAUUUAGCAACGCACUGUAAAUGAGCGUGGGUCAUAGUAUUUGAUCAGCUGCAAGAAGGUGAGUAAGUAGAACAGUUGAGGCGUAUUGCCAUGUUUCACAGCAUAAUGUAAAUUGACAGGUACGCGGUAUCCAGAAUACCACCAUACUGUACAGCACUUAUCGUAGAUGGUCAUUUACAUUUAAGAAUUGUAUCAUAUACCGUUGCAUAAUUUUAUCUUUGCUAUUUAUGAACUUCUCAUUUGUCUACUGCAAUCAAAUGUCUUCCGUGUUCUGUCCUAUUUUUGAUUAAUUGAUUCUGCAUGUAUUAAUUUUAAGUUUUGAUGUAGAUCUCAAACCUGAUGAAUAAAAUAAUAAAAAAAAAAUAAACCGUAAUAAUAUUGUUUGGGGCAUUUAAAACUGUAAAUGAACAUUCAAUCAUUUCUCGAAUAAGUUUUCGGCAAUGGUUUCAUUAAUCUUUUGUUGCAUCAUUCGCAUCCUUCGUAUUCGGCGAAUUGUUUGCGAUACAUCUGUAUGUGCAUUCCCAUUAGCAAUGCAAUGUGCAAGUAACUUAUGGUGACACAUCGCAUACGCAACUGGAAUACACUAUACCAGAGAUAACGCUCACACACGAGCUUUUGUUGUUGCUGGAAGACCAGUUUGCUGUAAUGCGUAUGUUUUAGGGCGUGUCGGCUGAGUUGAGGUUUAAAGCAAAAGCAUCCACCGCCGCGCGAUCGGUCAAGGUUGUUUGCUGACGAGCUUAGCGUUUUUGAAAGGGUGCUUUCGUUACAAAAUCAUCGCGGUCAACGCACACUGAUAUGGUGUGAUGAAACGAAAGUGAAGACGCGGCGAGCUUUUGCGUAGUAUGGGACCAGUUACGAUUGGUCAACGGUUGUCGAAUCGUACGACCAGUGGUGUGAUCGAAAGAUUAUUGUUCAGGGAAGUCGCAGAUGCGUGUUUUUCAUUAUUCGAUUUCAGGAAAUACGGAAGCCAGCUGCUGUUACACUUAUGAGGCAGGACGGCAGAACCAUCGGAAGCAACCAUAUCACAGUGACGGUGACGAACCAAUAUGCGCUUGAAUGGAUGGACGGAUGAAUGGUUGAGUACUUGUCUAUGGUGGGACCGAGUGGCAUUAAGAGGAGGUGCUCCAUCGCGCCUUGAAGAGAAACAUGUUGCUGCGCGUUUAAAAAAAAACAAAGAAUCGUUAUGGGAGUUUUAGAGUACAAAAGCAGAGCAAAUGAUGAUAAAAAUGAAUAGUAUAUGGUAGUAUGCAAUGUUUUAAAAUCAAAAUGAUAAAAAAAUUAAGAUCUAGAAACCUGUAUGACGGUAUGAAACUACCGAGGCAAUUAAAUAUAAACGGAUUGCUUCAGUGCUCAGUUCAAAAAUGCCUGGAUACAUAAUAUCUGUUGAUACAUAAUAUAUUGAAAAUACGGCAGAAGCCGUAAUAAAAUUAAUCUAAAUAAAAUAUUUUAGUUAGCACCAUAAUAAUUCAAAGGCGCUCAAUACUUGUACGAGACACCUGGAUAUGUGGUACUCGUUUGAUACAAAAAAAGGCUCGGGACGUAAAUUUCGAGAGAAUCGAGAGAGUUAAUUAAAAUAAUUAUUGGUAAAUGAUUAUAAAGCAUUGACAUGUUAAUAAAACAUAAAUUAAAAACUUCAUUUAAAAAUUCGACUGAAAAUGAUAGUAAUUAUUGUCAUAAUCAAUCAAAUCGUGCCAAACUCUUUAUGCAUAAGUAAUUGAUUCUAAUGCCCGAUUUAGUUUAAAAGUUUUUCAUUUUGAGGAGUAACGUCCUACGUGAACA